GUCCGAGUGCGACUGUGAUGUU
rnacentral:miRNA from 1 species